GAUGAACGCUGGCGGCGUGCCUAAUACAUGCAAGUCGAGCGAAUGGAUUAAGAGCUUGCUCUUAUGAAGUUAGCGGCGGACGGGUGAGUAACACGUGGGUAACCUGCCAUAAGACUGGGAUAACUCCGGGAAACCGGGGCUAAUACCGGAUAACAUUUUGAACCGCAUGGUCCGAAAUUGAAAGGCGGCUUCGGCUGUCACUUAUGGAUGGACCCGCGUCGCAUUAGCUAGUUGGUGAGGUAACGGCUCACCAAGGCAACGAUGCGUAGCCGACCUGAGAGGGUGAUCGGCCACACUGGGACUGAGACACGGCCCAGACUCCUACGGGAGGCAGCAGUAGGGAAUCUUCCGCAAUGGACGAAAGUCUGACGGAGCAACGCCGCGUGAGUGAUGAAGGCUUUCGGGUCGUAAGACUCUGUUGUUAGGGAAGAACAAGUGCUAGUUGAAUAAGCUGGCACCUUGACGGUACCUAACCAGAAAGCCACGGCUAACUACAUGCCAGCCGCCGCAGUAA
rnacentral:rRNA from 1 species